GACGAACGCUGGCGGCGUGCUUAACACAUGCAAGUCGAACGGAAAGGCCCUGCUUGCAGGGUACUCGAGUGGCGAACGGGUGAGUAACACAUGGGUGAUCUGCCCUGCACUUCGGGAUAAGCCUGGGAAACUGGGUCUAAUACCGGAUAGGAGCCAUUUUUAGUGUGAUGGUUGGAAAGUUUUUUCGGUGUAGGAUGAGCUCGCGGCCUAUCAGCUUGUUGGUGGGGUAAUGGCCUACCAAGGCGGCGACGGGUAGCCGGCCUGAGAGGGUGGACGGCCACAUUGGGACUGAGAGACGGCCCAGACUCCUACGGGAGGCAGCAGUGGGGAAUAUUGCACAAUGGGCGCAAGCCUGAUGCAGCGACGCCGCGUGGGGGAUGACGGCCUUCGGGUUGUAAACUCCUUUCGCUAGGGACGAAGCUUUUGUGACGGUACCUAGAUAAGAAGCACCGGCUAACUACGUG
rnacentral:rRNA from 1 species